rfam:TPA: Bos taurus chromosome 13, whole genome shotgun sequence.
UGGCUCAGAUGGUAAAGUAUCUGCCUGCAAUGCAGGAGACCCAGGUUCGAUCCCUGG